UGUCUGUCAUACCCACUACAGUGUUUAAGUUCCUCUCUGAACUAAAGGACUGUCUUAAUCAUCUUUUGUUAUUUUGUCACCCAGAAUAAAAAGGUUUUUUGACCAAGAAACAUUAAACGUAGCUCAGCACCUGGCACACAAUAGGAUACUACAUCUAAAGAAGUUAGAAUCUAUUCUGAUACAUCAGCUAUUAUUAACUUUACAGAGGAAAAAACUGGCACUAUUACUGAAAACUUAAUUCAGAAUGCAAAAACUAAGCAACUUUUAAAAUCAAGUUUCAACUUGCUUAUUUACAUAUUACCAAUACAACCACAUCUUUGAUAAGAAAAAGAACAUUUAGCUCAGUAAUGACUCUUCAGCUCAAG